GAAACUUCAAUAAUAAUUUUGUUGGUUAAGUUUAGGGACAUCUCAAUCAAUAUCAGCAUGUAGUAUCUUAGAUCAAUAUUUCGUGUUGUUCACUCAGUUUGCGUAUCAAAUGACAGUAGUUAAGAAAUUUGAAUCAAAGGCUACAUCAUGGGAAAGUCCGAAUAUUGAAAAUAAAUAUUGUUCUACUCAGUAUCAAACAUGCCUUAUGGUUGGACUUUGUGAUCAGCUACGAGAAAAAGUCAUCAUCCCCAAGAGAAAAGUUUACAAUGACUGAGAAUUAACAGAAAGCAGUUACUACAGGGAUCUGCAUCUUUGUUGAUUCUUCAACCUAAUCUCCAACUGGGGGGAUCACCCUCCAUCUAAGUAGAGACAGGUGCUCUGAGUUCCAACAAAAUUUACCCUCAUUAGAAUUUUGGAUAGCACAAGACAUUUUACAAGGCAUGUACAAGAAUUCCCAAAAUUGUUAUGAUGCCUGGGAAAGGAUAGUAGGUGCUUCAAUUUCUGUUGCUGGUACAUUUGAUGUUGUAUUGGCAAUUGAUUCCUUCGGCUCAGCCUCUGUUGCAGAAAUCAAAGAUGCAGAUUGAAUCUUGCCAGCAUGCUCCAGGCGCAUCAGAAUAACCCCCCUUGCAAAGCGGGACUGUAUUGAAAUAUCCCGAACUUUAAUUCUAUUUACAGUACCACUCUGGCUUACUAGAACCAAUUGUUCAUCACUUUCGCCAUCUUCUGCCAAUGAAAAUCCAACAACAAAGACUGCUGCCAAGCGGUCCUCUGCAGAAAACUUACAACCAAUUAAACCAACUCUAUUUAAAGGUGAUAGUCGAAAACUACCAAGUGGAACCCGCUUUCCAUAACCACUCUCAGACACGAAUAACAACCAGGGACCACUGCCUUUGUUGUGGCUCCUAGGAUCUUCGAACACCCUCUCCAAGUCUCUUCGCAUGGCAGCUGGUAUUAUGUCCAUGCUUGCCAUCUUAUCUCCUUUCCUUAGUCUCAUGGCCACUCCACCUCGGGUAUUUCGGCUUAGUGAUCGAAUAUUGUCACAGGAACUUAGCAUGACCAUUCCAUUUUGCGAAGCCAUAGCAACAAUAUCAUCAUUUGUACAACAGCGAACCCAUUUUAGUUCAUCACCAGGAACCUGCAAAGUCGAGAAUUUGAGCCUAACACCAAGGGAACAUAUUGAAAUUCCAAUGCAAGAAAAGAAAAGAGGACAAACCAAUUGAAUUGCUAUUAUUCCUGUGGAACGUAUGGCUGAAAAAACAUUCAGAGACACUUUCUUGAUGUAACCAUUGACUGUGAGCAUUAAUAGAAACUGAUCUCCAGCAAAAUCACUCACAGGAAUAAUGGAAGUUAUUCUUUCACCAUCAGAUAAAGACAAGAACUGUCUCCAGCAUGAAACAUAUAUUGGCAACCUUAAGAGAUGAAUUAAUAAUGCUAGAGAGAGAGAGAGAGAAGGACAAUUUAUACCUGGACCAGUGGUGUGCCCGCAGCAGUCCUGGUGCAUUCAGGAAUUUUAUAAGCACGGGCUGAGUACACAAUUCCCCGAUCACUAAAGUAUAGCACAUGGUCGUGUGCACGACAGACAAUAGAGUCAGACAUUGCAUCAUUGAGUCUCAGUUUUCCAACAGAUUUACCAACUGUUCCACGAUUUUGAAGAUUAAAGGUAUCGGGCUUCAUUCUCUUCACAUAACCUUUUUCACUAAUGGCCAAAAGCAUUUCUUCAUUUAAAAUAACAUCUAUAUCUUCAAGUUCACCACUAUUUGAUUCCUCCAGCAACGAACGCCUUUGAGUGGAGAACUUAUUCUUCAACUCAACAGCUUCUUGUUCUAUUAACUGCAAGAUGUUUUGCCUGCUGGAUAGAAGUUCCUCUAGCUUUGAGAUUUGUUCCAUCAAUAGUUUACUUUCAUCAACAAACUUCUUUCUCUCAAGAAGGGUAAGUCUUCUUAGGCUUAUGUCCAAUAUAGCAUCAGCCUGCUUCUCAGAAAGAUUAAAUUCAUUCCUCAAACCAGCAGAUGCAGCUGCAUUGCUUGAAGCCUCCUUAAUUAUUUGAAUCACUUCAUCCAAGUUAUCAAGUCCCACCACGAUACCCUCAACAAUAUGUCUUCUCUCCUGUGCUUGUGAGAGCUUAAACCUAGCACGUCUCUGAACAACAGAGCAUCUAAAAUCUAAGAACGCCUGAAGUAAAUCUUUCAGACCCAUCUGUUUGGGUUGUCCGUCAAGAAUGCCCACCAUAUUGCAGCUAAAGCUAGACUGAAGAGGAGUGAGACGAUAAAGAUUAUUUAACACUAUUGAUGGGUCUGAUCCUCGUUUCAGCUCAAUCACUAUACGCAUUCCAGAGCGAUCACUUUCAUCACGAAUAUCACAAAUGCCAUCUAAACUCUUAUUCUCUACAAGUUCAGCAAUCUUUUCCACAAGCGAUGCCUUGUUGGUUUGAUAAGGAACCUCUUUUAUGAUAACUGCAGUUCGCUUGGUUUUUGAGUCAAUCAAUUCAACAUCUGUUUUCCCUCUGACUAUGAUACGUCCUCGCCCAUUCCGAUAUGCCUCUAAGAUCCCAAGGUUUCCCAUAAUUAGUCCUCCAGUUGGAAAGUCAGGUCCAGGCAUAUAUUCCAGCAACUCCUGCAAAGUGGCUUCAGGAUUGUGAAUUAAUGCACAUAGCACAUCCACUAGCUCUCCAAGAUUGUGAGGAGGAAUAUUGGUUGCCAUGCCAACCGCAAUCCCAGAUGAACCAUUUAACAAUAAUGUUGGUAGCCGAGCAGGCAAAAGUGAAGGUUCCUUUUGAGAAUUAUCAAAAUUAGGAACAAAAUCGACUGUGUCUAGUUCAAGAUCGGCCAACAAAACUGCUUCUGUGAGCGCUUCCAGCCUGCACUCUGUAUAACGCAUGGCAGCAGGGGGAUCUGCAUCUAUUGAACCAAAAUUGCCAUGCCCCUGGAUAAGUGGGCUUCUUAAGGAGAAAUCCUGUGCCAUUCGCACCAAUGCAUCAUAGACAGCAGUGUCUCCAUGGGGAUGAAACUUACCAAGAACCUCACCAACGACUCUAGCACAUUUUUUGAAUGGCUUUCUUGAGGAAAGACCCAAUUCAUGCAUUGCAAAUAGUAUCCUCCGAUGCACAGGCUUCAACCCAUCCCUUACAUCUGGCAAAGCCCUUCCAAGCAAAACCGACAUGGCGUAGGCCAUGUAAGCCUCGGUGGCCUCUUUGUGAAGCUCUGUAGGCACAACUCUUCCGUCGCUGCCCCCAUUUGAAUCCUUCACCAACAAACUCCCAUUUUGCUCUCGAGAAUCCCUCUCCUCUCUGGCCGAGGAGUAGUCUCGGCGGCGCGCUUGCACAGGCAGGAGGCGGGUACAGGAAGGGAAUGUUGAUAGAAAGCGGAGUUCAGAAAGGCGGUGGCGGAGACCAGAGAAGCGGGUUUGGGCGAAAUGGACGUGGUAGCGGAGUACAGAGUUAGAUAAGCGGAGAGCAGAAGAAAGAGCCAUAUAAUUAGGGUUUAAGAUUUUGGAAGAAGAGGAAGUCAUGCCAUGAAGAGGAAAAGAAGCGCUUAAGAUUUAGGGUUUAUUAGUCCUUUUGUCCAAAACAAAAAAGAUAUCCCGGGCUCUAGCAAGGAGAUGAUUUGAAAAAG
rnacentral:misc_RNA from 1 species